GCCAGGCACGGUGGCACAUGCCUGUAAUCCCAGCAGCUUGGGAGGCUGAGGCAGGAGAAUUGUGAGUUCAAAGCCAGUCUCAGCAACUUAGUGACACACUUAGCAACUCAGUGAGACCCUAUCUCUA
rnacentral:sRNA from 1 species